GUAUUUCAUUGUUUUCAUGUGUCCAUUAUUUCUCAGUCAAUCUCCGUUAUGUGCAUCUGGAUCCGCUAAGUUGGGACAAAAAAUGCUGCCAUAGUACCCACUUGUGUACUAGCAUUCAAUAAUGAUCCUUCCGCAGGUUCACCUACGGAAA
rnacentral:misc_RNA from 1 species